UACGUAGGUGACAAGCGUUGUCCGGAUUUACUGGGCGUAAAGAGCGCGCAGGCGGUCGAUCAAGUCGAGUGUGAAAGCCCCCGGCUCAACUGGGGAGGGUCAUUCGAUACUGAUCGACUCGAAGGCAGGAGAGGGAAGUGGAAUUCCCGGUGUAGUGGUGAAAUGCGCAGAUAUCCGGAGGAACACCGGUGGCGAAGGCGGCUUCCUGGACCGACACUGACGCUGAGGCGCGAAAGCUAGGGGAGCAAACGGG
rnacentral:rRNA from 1 species